UUAACUUAAUUUGGUGUAGAUUUUUAAUCUUUCUUUGAGAAUUUAUUGGUUGUGUAUUUUCUAUUGAUUUAGAUUACAUACUUAGUGAUUAGUUUGUAAUACUUCAUAUGUUAUAUGUAACAAACUUUAUUUAGAUAACAUCCUUAUUCUACAAUGAUAUAUCAUCUUUGAACUAUCUAAAUUAUCAAGCAUGUCAUUUUUAUUAAUAUUAUUUUUUCUUGAAUGUAUCUAAUUUUUUAAGUAAUAUAGAUAUAAUUUUAAACUUCU
rnacentral:lncRNA from 1 species